rnacentral:rRNA from 1 species
UACGAAGGGGGCUAGCGUUGCUCGGAAUCACUGGGCGUAAAGCGCACGUAGGCGGCUUCUUAAGUCAGGGGUGAAAUCCUGGAGCUCAACUCCAGAACUGCCUUUGAUACUGAGGAGCUUGAGUCCGGGAGAGGUGAGUGGAACUGCGAGUGUAGAGGUGAAAUUCGUAGAUAUCUGGAGGAACACCGGUGGCGAAGGCGGCAUCCUGGACCGACACUGACGCUGAUGAGCGAAAGCCAGGGGAGCAAACGGG